rnacentral:tRNA from 1 species
GCCCUCGUAGCUCAGUGGAUAGAGUGACGGUUUCCGGUACCGCAGGUCGCAGGUUCGACUCCUGUCGAGGGCA